GGCGGACGGGUGAGGAAUACGUAGGAAUCUGCCCCUUAAGUGGGGGAUAACCCGGGGAAACCCGGAUUAAUACCGCAUGAUCUCGAAAGAGCAAAGCAGGGGACCGCAAGGCCUUGCGCUUUUGGAGGAGCCUACGUCGGAUUAGCUAGUUGGUGAGGUAACGGCUCACCAAGGCGACGAUCCGUAACUGGUCUGAGAGGAUGAUCAGUCACACCGGAACUGAGACACGGUCCGGACUCCUACGGGAGGCAGCAGUGGGGAAUAUUGGACAAUGGGCGAAAGCCUGAUCCAGCAAUGCCGCGUGUGUGAAGAAGGCCUUCGGGUUGUAAAGCACUUUAAGUUGGGAAGAAAAAGCUUCACCUAAUACGGGAGCCUUGACGGUACCGCAGAAUAAGCACCGGCUAA
rnacentral:rRNA from 1 species